rnacentral:rRNA from 1 species
UACGAAGGGUGCAAGCGUUAAUCGGAAUUACUGGGCGUAAAGCGUGCGUAGGCGGUUUCUUAAGUCCGUUGUGAAAGCCCUGGGCUCAACCUGGGAACUGCGAUGGAUACUGAGGAGCUGGAGUACGGUAGAGGAAGGUGGAAUUCCCGGUGUAGCGGUGAAAUGCGUAGAUAUUGGGAAGAACACCGGUGGCGUAGGCGACUCGCUGGGCUGUAACUGACGCUGAGGAACGAAAGCCAGGGGAGCGAAUGGG